UACGUAGGGGGCAAGCGUUGUCCGGAAUCAUUGGGCGUAAAGCGCGUGUAGGCGGUUCGGUAAGUCUGCUGUGAAAGUCCAGGGCUCAACCCUGGGACUGCCGGUGGAUACUGUCGGACUAGAGUACGGAAGAGGCGAGUGGAAUUCCCGGUGUAGCGGUGAAAUGCGCAGAUAUCGGGAGGAACACCAAUUGCGAAGGCAGCUCGCUGGGACGUCACUGACGCUGAGACGCGAAAGCGUGGGGAGCAAACAGG
rnacentral:rRNA from 1 species